rnacentral:rRNA from 1 species
GUGUCAGCCGCCGCGGUAAUACGUAGGUGGCAAGCGUUGUCCGGAUUUAUUGGGUUUAAAGGGUGCGUAGGCGGCUUUGUAAGUCAGUGGUGAAAUACUCCAGCUCAACUGGAGAGGUGCCAUUGAUACUGCAGAGCUAGAGUACUGAUGAGGUAGGCGGAAUGGACGGUGUAGCGGUGAAAUGCUUAGAUAUCGUCCAGAACACCGAUAGCGAAGGCAGCUUACUAAAGAGUAACUGACGCUGAGGCACGAAAGUGUGGGGAUCAAACAGGAUUAGAUACCCGGGUAGUCC